rnacentral:tRNA from 1 species
AUUUAAAUAGUUUAAUUAAAAAUUUUGAUUUGUGGUAUCAAAGAUAUAAAAAUAUUUAUUUUAAAUA